rnacentral:rRNA from 1 species
CACGUAGGGUGCGAGCGUUGUCCGGAAUUAUUGGGCGUAAAGAGCUCGUAGGCGGUGUGUCGCGUCGGCCGUGAAAACCUGCAGCUUAACUGUGGGCGUGCGGGCGAUACGGGCAGACUAGAGUGCUGCAGGGGAGACUGGAAUUCCUGGUGUAGCGGUGGAAUGCGCAGAUAUCAGGAGGAACACCGGUGGCGAAGGCGGGUCUCUGGGCAGUAACUGACGCUGAGGAGCGAAAGCGUGGGGAGCGAACAGG